rnacentral:lncRNA from 1 species
UGCAAUCAUAGCUCACUGCACUCCAGCCUGGACAACAGAGCUGAACCAGCUCAAGAGAUCCUCUUAUCUCAGUCUUCCAACUAGCUAGGAUCACAGGUACACACCUCUGUGCUUCACUAUGUUUUAAAUUUUUAGUAGAGAAGGGGUCUCACUAUGUUGCCCAGGCUGGUCUCCAACUCCUAGGCUAAAGCGAUGCUCCCACCUCGGCCCCCCAAAGUGUUGGGA